UUCGCGAGCUCGCAGCCCGCGGCUGUUUGAGUUCGUGUUGUGUCGUCCCGCACUUGCUUGCGUGCAGCAGCGUUUCCCCCGCUGCACAGCACCGAGUGAGUCAUCUCCGCUCCGUGCGGAUACGUCACUUUUUUCCCCCGCGGUGGCUGCUACCUCCCGGCACCAGGGAGUGCCGAUUUGAGUCCUGGCUACUCUCUUCUGAUCCAGUUUUCUGCAAAUGGGCCCAAGAGGGAAGAACAGCAAUGGAGAGUUCCAGCCUCCCGGCUUCAGCGGGUCCAGCCUCAGCUGUUGUGGGCAUUUGAGGAGCGAACCAAUAGGGAGGCCUGAGAGAGCAUAACCAUGACCCAGAGUGUAGAGGGCCGGGACUUUGAAUUCUUCUUUCGGUGUUGGUGAUACAGCUAUGGAGGUGCACUCUGACUUCUAUCUUGUGAUCAACGCCCAGGUCUGUGAAGACAACUGACUUGGGUGAGGGGAUCUUUCAGUGGUCAUGAAAACAGUUAACCAACAGAUUCCCUGAAUAUUGUCGCAGCAUGUUGAUCCAUCUCUCCUUUCAGUGCCUUGCCAAACACCAAGAAAUAAUGUUGAAGAGAAUCUGCCUUAGCCCAAUUUAAAGAGCAUCAUGUUGGCCCCUUGGAGCUAUUUGACUCAAAAGCCCUAAAGACACACAGCCUGGUAGUCACAAAUAGCUUGAGAGAGUUCCAUCUCCUUUAAAAUCAGUUUUAGAUUUAAAAGGAAAGCAGCAAAAGUAAUACACGUGGAAUUUCACAACUAAAAAAUAUUAGUAUGUUUCAACCAAAUGUCUUUGCACCCUCUUCCUUCCUAGGUUUUAUUGUUUGUGUAUUCUCAAAACACACAAGGAUAAUUGUGAUUGCAAUAUGAAAUUUAUCUUGGGAGCUAUGGGCCAUUUGAUUUCCUGGCAGAUGAGAAAAGGGCUAGGAAUUGGACAGUUUUUCCACACUCAUAAUAGUAGUAGAUCACACUUUUGUAUUUCAUCUCCCUUCAUGAAGUGAAUGCUAUCUUCACAGUGAUGUUUAUUUUGUUUGGCUUGCAGAAAGAGUAUAUUUUAGCCUUAGGCAUGUAUUUAAAUCCUUAAAAUAGCAGAAAAUCACUUAGAACCCAGUUUGCAUUACAAGGAGGCUUGCUUAUUUGUGGUUUGUGGAUUUGCUAAAAACAGUUUUAUUAAGACAUAAUUUAUCUACCAUAAAGUUCACCCAUUUAAAGUAUAUAAUUCUGUGGGUUUUAAUAUACUUACCAGGCUAAACAUGUGGCUCCUUCUUUAAUAUUGUUUAGAAAGCACUCUGCUGUGACUUCUACAUGACUAAGCCCUAAUAUAAUUAUAUCUUUCAUUUAUUUGGACACCUUAUGGAGUAGUGAUUAAGAGUAUGGACUCUGGAACCAGCCAGCCUGGAAAAAAAUCCCAACUCCGCCAUGUGCCUUGAAAGAGUUACUACUAACCUUUCUGUGACUUGGUUUUCUUGUAUAUAAAAUGGGAAUAAUCAUAGAAUCUCCUAAUUGGGAGGGUUAAAUGAAUUAAAUGAUAUAAAGAGCUCAGAGCAGUACCUGGCUCAUUAUAAGGACUAUAUAAAUGUUUGCUUUUACCAACAUAUUUCUCUUUAAACUCAGGUAUGGAUUGAUCAUAAUUCUUAGUUCAUGACACAGUAAUUAAUGACUCAUCCAUGGCCUUUAAAUUUUAUAUUAUUUAUCAAUAACAUACUGAUUUCCAUGAACCCAGCAGUAAAAUAAAAAAUUCCCAGUAUUUAAAUCUACCUAAGUGAUCCUUUGUCCUAUCAACUGCCUGCCUUUAUAUAUGUUCUGAUCUAGUAUUUAGCAACCCUUGCUAUUUAAACAGAACUUUUUAAAAGUUUUAAAGGGGGGGUCUGGCAUUGUAGUGCAGUGGGUUUAGCUGCCGCCUGUGACACAGCAUUCCAUAUCAGAGUACCAUUUCCAGUCCAGCUCUGCUUCCAAUCCAGCUCACUACCGUGUGCCUGGGAAAGCAAUCGGGGGUGGCCAUUUGGAGAGUGAAUCAACAGAUGGAAGAUCUUUUCUUUCUCUCUCUCUCUCCUACUCUGUCUCUUUGCUUUUCAACUAAAUAAAUUGUAUGGGAUAAAAAUUUUAAUGCAAUCAUGAAGAGUUCAUCUAUAUAUAGCAUAUAUAAAUCUGUGCUUUCACA